UCCAGAUGUUCGUAUUCUAGGUGUGGC
rnacentral:sRNA from 1 species